rnacentral:rRNA from 1 species
AUUGAACGCUGGCGGCAGGCCUAACACAUGCAAGUCGAACGAGUGGCGGACGGGUGAGUAAUGUCUGGGAAACUGCCCGAUGGAGGGGGAUAACUACUGGAAACGGUAGCUAAUCCCGCAUCCCAUCGGCUGUGCCCAGAUGGGAUUAGCUAGUAGGUGGGGUAACGGCUCACCUAGGCGACGAUCCCUAGCUGGUCUGAGAGGAUGACCGGCCAAACUGGAAUUGGGACACGGUCCAGACUCCUACGGAAGGAAGCAGUGGGAAAUAUUGCACAAUGGGGGCAGGCCUGAUGCAGCCAUGCGGGGUGUAUGAAGAGGGCCUUGGGGUUGUAAAGUACUUUCAGCGAGGGGGCGUUACUCGCAGAAGAAGCACCGGCUAACUCCGUGCCAGCAGCCGCGGUAAUC